rnacentral:lncRNA from 1 species
AGGUGAUAUUGACUCUGGUGUGUCCACUGCUCAUGGAUGCACCUCAGGUGUGCCCACCCAACCUGGAGAGAGAGAAGGGAAGAUGGAAGGCACAAUCGACAGCCAUCCCCAGGGCCCUGCCUGCAGCUCCUGCUUCUGUCUAAACAGAGCUGUGGCCCACAGGACACAGGCAUACUUGCUUUUUACCAGAUGACUGGCUCCCAGCUGAUGGGGUAAGUGUUCAUGGAUAAGUUCAGGGGAAGGCCUGGAACUCAUUUAGAA